rnacentral:rRNA from 1 species
AACGCAGGGAACUGAAACAUCUUAGUACCUGUAGGAAGAGAAAAUAAAUUAAUGAUUCCCCCAGUAGUGGCGAGCGAACGGGGAACAGCCCAAACCAGUGGCGUCGCAAGGCGUGGCUGGGGUUGUAGGACCGCGACAUUGUACUGAAAUGGUGAGUGGAAGUAUCUGGAAAGUUACAUCACAGAAGGUGAUAAUCCUGUACACGAAGCCAGAUCAGGCAUAGCGGUAUCCUGAGUAACGCGGGACACGAGGAAUCCUGCGCGAAUCUGCCGGGACCAUCCGGUAAGGCUAAAUACUCCCGUGAGACCGAUAGCGAACGAGUACUGUGAAGGAAAGGUGAAAAGAACCCCGAGCAGGGGAGUGAAAUAGUUCCUGAAACCAUACGCCUACAAGCGGUCGGAGCAUCGCAAGAUGUGACGGCGUGCCUUUUGCAUAAUGAUCCUACGAGUUACCGUCACUGGCGAGGUUGAGUGUCACGAGACACGUAGCCGCAGUGAAAGCGAGCCUGAAUAGGGCGCACAGUCAGUGGGGGUAGACGCGAAACCAAGUGAUCUACACUUGGCCAGGAUGAAGUCCCGGUAACACGGGAUGGAGGUCCGCACCAAUAAGCGUUGAAAAGCUUCUGGAUGAGCCGAGUGUAGGAGUGAAAGGCCAAUCAAACUUGGAGAUAGCUCGUACUCCCCGAAAGGCAUUUAGGUGCCGCGUCGGAUGGUCACCGUGAGAGGUAGAGCGACCGAUAGGACAAGAGGGCUUCACCGCCUAUCGAGUCCUGACGAACUCCGAAUGCUCACGGUCUGCAGUCCGGCAGUAAGGGGGCGGGUGCUAAGGUCCGUCCCCGAGAGGAGAAGAAUCCAGACCGCCGUCUAAGGUCCCGGAGUUCUGCCUGAGUUAGUCUAACGAAGUCUGGUCCCUAUGACAGCUAGGAUGUUGGCUUGGAAGCAGCCAUUCAUUCAAAGAGUGCGUAACAGCUCACUAGUCGAGGGUCCGGGCAUGGAUAAUAAUCGGGUAUAAGGCAGACACCGAAGGCGCGGGAUAGCAAUUAUAAAAGUAUCGGUAGGGGAGCAUACUCACAGCGUCGAAUGGUGUACGUAAGUUAUCCUGGAGCGGUGAGUAAAGCAAAUGUAGGAAUAAGUAACGAUAAGGAGGGUUAGAUUCCCUCCCGCUGUAAGACCAAGGUUUCCCGGGCAAUGCCAAUCAGCCCGGGGUCAGUCGGGUCCUAAGUCUAAGCCGAACGGCGAUGGCGAUGGCAGAGACGGUUAAUAUUCCGUCACUGCCGCAUGGGGCGACGUGGAGACGGAGCAGUGAAACCACCGCGGGGCGACGGAAGUCCCCGUUGAAGAGUGUAGGCGUUGAGGAUGGCAGGCAAAUCCACCAUCCGAGCUGAACUUGACAGUACGGAGUCCUCCUCGGAGGAAUCUGAUAGUGUGGGUAAUCAUACUCCCGAGAAAAUCCGCUAAGCUUAACCCAUGCGGCACCCGUACCGCAAACGGACACACGUGGUCGGGUAGAACAUACUAAGGCGUUGAGAGAUUCAUGGUUAAGGAACUAGGCAAACUGACCCCGUAACUUCGGGAUAAGGGGUCCUCGUGAAGAGCGAGGCGCAGAGAAUAGGUCCAGGCAACUGUUUAACAAAAACACAGGGCUGUGCAAACUCGAAAGAUGAGGUAUACAGCCUGACACCUGCCCGGUGCCGGAAGGUUAAGAGGAGAUGUCACUCGCAAGAGGAAGCAUUGAAUUGAAGCCCCGGUAAACGGCGGCCGUAACUAUAACGGUCCUAAGGUAGCGAAAUUCCUUGUCGGGU